GACGAACGCUGGCGGCGUGCUUAACACAUGCAAGUCGAGCGGUGCGGCGAACGGGUGAGUAACGCGGGAGUAACUGCCCACCUCCCUGGGAUAACAGUUGGAAACGGCUGCUAAUACCGGAUAGUGGGGGAUGACUCGUGUCCUAUCAGCUUGUUGGUGGGGUAGUGGCCUACCAAGGCGACGACGGGUAGCCGGCCUGAGAGGGCGGCCGGCCACAUUGGGAUGAGAUACGGCCCAAACUCCUAAUGGAGGCAGGAGUGGGGAAUAGUGGACAAUGGGGGAAAUCCUGAUGCAGCAACGCCGGGUGCGGGAUGACGGCCUUCGGGUUGUAAACCGCUUUCAGCAAUGACGCGGUAGUGGCAGAGGAAGCACCGGCUAACUACGUGCCAGCCGCCGCGGUAUAC
rnacentral:rRNA from 1 species